rnacentral:rRNA from 1 species
AUACAGAGGGUGCAAGCGUUAUUCGGAAUUACUGGGCGUAAAGCGCGCGUAGGCGGAUGAUUAAGUCAGUUGUGAAAGCCCUGGGCUCAACCUAGGAACUGCAUCUGAUACUGGUCGUCUAGAGUUUAAGAGAGGGAAGUGGAAUUCCAGGUGUAGCAGUGAAAUGCGUAGAUAUCUGGAGGAACAUCAGUGGCGAAGGCGACUUCCUGGCUUAAAACUGACGCUGAGGUACGAAAGCGUGGGUAGCAAACAGGAUUAGAAACCCUAGUAGUCC